GCGCGAAAACUUUACAAUGCUGGCAACAGCGAUAAGGGAACCUCGAGUGCCAGGUUACAAAUCUGGCUGUCGAGAUGCCUAAAAAGCAUUUCAUAGCAAGGGCCGGGCAAGACCGGUGCCAGCCGCCGCGGUAACACCGGCGGCUCGAGUGGUAACCGUUAUUAUUGGGUCUAAAGGGUCUGUAGCCGGCCGGAUAAGUCUCUUGGGAAAUCUGGCAGCUCAACUGUCAGGCUUUCAGGAGAUACUGUCUGGCUCGAGGCCGGGAGAGGUGAGAGGUACUUCAGGGGUAGGGGUGAAAUCUUGUAAUCCUUGAAGGACCACCAGUGGCGAAGGCGUCUCACCAGAACGGACCUGACGGCAAGGGACGAAAGCUAGGGGCACGAACCG
rnacentral:rRNA from 1 species